AACUUUCUUGUAUUUUGGUGGUAAAAAAAGGUAUGAAUUAUCUAAACAGUAAGAAUCAUGUGUUCAAGUUAUCAAAAAGAGAGAGAUGAUGUGUUCAACAAUGAAAAAAGUAGGAGAUUGAGUCCUUAUUUCUUUUCCCCAGUGUGAAUCACGACCAUAUGUGCAAUAUCGAAGGAUCUUUAGAUAUCUGUAGAAAAGUUGUUGUGCUGCCAGAAAUAAAGAAGAAAAUUAAGUUGAUCUAACAAUCAAAUAAAAAUUUACUCAAGUAAACAACACGAACAAAAUACACAGUAGAUAGAAGCUAAUGCAAGCAUUGGACUUCAUUUUUUCUAGGGUCCUUGUAAUAGAAUGAUGUUUCAUACUCUAAUCCACAAUUCAUACAAAAGAACAAAAGUUAUAUGCCUUGUCUCAACAAUCUAACACAAGUAGAAGCCAAGAUCCACCUUUUGCACUAUUUCAAAAACAAGUAAAUAACCUUCAUUCAAAAUAAGUCACCAAACUAAAUGAUAUCAUAUAGUAGUCGCAAAAUUGCAGCAUUGCAAAUUUUGCAAGCAGAUUUCCCGAACAGUGUCUCAGAACGCAAAGUGAGGAAACAAGAAGGUCGUAGAAAUUCAAAUACUAAAUUACUGUGAUAUCAUCUAUUUGCUGGAGGAGUCUACGCCAAUAGAGUGCAGAUACCAACUUCAGGAAAACUGUUUCCUGAUGGUAAUUUACAAAUGAAGAAAUACAAGACUUUUUGUAUGCUAAUCAUUGGUUAAAGCUAAUGGAUGCUAACACCAACAGUAGCAUUUGCUACUCUUUCUGGUGCUUUCAAUUUGAAAAUAAUAAUCAACCCAAUUAUAUUGCUAAUCACCAGUAAUCGUAUGAAUGCAAUCACCUAAGAGAUUAAUUACUCUCUGGGUGCGGGGAUAGAGGAAUAUAUUUUUAAUUUUUUCAUGUUUGGUUCAUCAAAAUUUUUAAAAAACAUUCUCUAGGAAUAUAUUUAGAUUGUUUGGCUAAGCUGGUUCGUAUAACAUAGUUGGAGUUUUAAAUUUGAUGGCCUGAUAAAAUGGGAACCUCGGGAAAAACAUAGAAGAGUGAGAAAGAACCCAGAAAUUCCUGGGUUCUGGUCCGUUAAAGCCGCUGGAGUGGGAUUUUUCCCACCAUAGAGGGACCACCACAGCAGGAAUUUUUCUGCCAAAGCGGGACAGGGCGAGGCAGAACCUCACCCAGCCUCCACUGUUUUCCCUAAAUAUAUCUUUUUCUUUUUUUUUGGACCCCGAAUGGGAUCCAAUCAAAUCCCUACAAUCUUUCCAGUGUUCAGUAAUCAAGAUGGUUUAUAAAAACUUAGGGAUUCACCUUUUGCUAUGGAAAAACAAGAAAUCAAGCAUCCAUGUGCUACAAAACAUAGAAAAUCGAAAGAUAAAAACAAGUUGUCUUAAAUUACAAGCCCAAGAGGGGGAAAGGGAAAGCUGAUCAAGGACUCUCGGACUGGGUGGUGCCAAUUUCUGAAUCGAGGUUCUCUGGGGUGUCAUGCCAUUCCAAGCCUCAUUCAGCAUAGAGAAAUCCCUGAAGUCCGGUGGCUCGAGUCGGGGAAGUUUCUUAUCGGGGGCCACGCAAGUAAAUAGGGUCUUGAUAGUCUUCCACAUCCGAAGCAUCAGACGAUCCCUGACCACACACUUUCUCUUCUCCUUUCGCAGCUGGCGGUGGAGCAUUUCGACCUCCAAGGCAGUGCUGGGUGGAACCGGAGUGAAUUCAGUAUAGGCACUCCCAAUCCUCUCCCGGACAGCCUCUAAGUCUUCCUCAACCCGUGCACCUGAGAGUGGGUCCUCGUCUUCCGAAUCCUCGGCCGCCUUGCUGCUGCUAAUCUUGCUUAUCCUCCUCCUCCUCCUCUUACUCCUAGAAGUGGAACCUGACUUGACCAAAAGAGGGUGAAGGGGGGGAUCCAUGGGAAGUACCUCAUCAGCAUCAAAGAGCGGCACUCCCGCUCGCUUGCACAGCGCAAUAAUGAGUCCUAGAAAGAAGAAGGCCUUCUUGUUGCCCCGAUAAAACAUCUUCCAUUCAGAGAUGAUCUGUGCUCCCACAUUUAUCUGGAUGCCCUGUAUAGCACACGCCAUCACCAUAACCCAGGGAAAGGUCACGUCGGUGUGGUUGCCCGACGGGCGGAUCCUCCUAGUCACCAAGUGAAGCCAUCUCUUAGCAUCGGGUGACCAAUCUGUGUUAAUAAUACCCUCUGCAGUAGCCCAGUAUACCUGAUCCCAGUGCGUGGCCUCAAACAGAGUAUCCCUCAACCACUCUAGAUCCAUCUUCCUUAGCUUGGCCUCAAACUCCGCGUUUGAGGCAUCGGGUACGUCUAGUACCUCAUUAAUAGUAGUAGCAUUCAAGGGGAUGUCGACUCCCCGGAUACGAAUGAAGGGUAAUUGUCAUCCCAGCGGACGGUAGGGAGGAUGGCAUAAAACUCUCUCACCCAAGUGGAACAUGCAUCUGGGGGAGCCUCAGUCAACUGAAUCCACCCGAACUCUACCAAUCGAGCAUAGAAUGCAGGCGCCUUCUCCUUUAGCUUAUGCAGCACGAACCCUCUCUCGUAACAAAACCCAAUGUUGCGAUAGUCGUGAUACUUUUCCCGACUCGCGGCAUCGGGGAAUUGGAUGAAGGGUAGGUAUUCUUCAUUUUGAUCUGCCAUUUAGAAGCUUGCAAUAAGUUGAAGACAAGUUAGAACAAUAUAGGACAGUUGGGGCUAAAACAAAAAGAGAGAAAAGUUGGUGUAAGAGUGCAGGCCACUGGUCUGGCACAUCCCGUCAUAGCGGCUAAAAUCCCGCCACAGCGGGAUGAUAAAGGCCGCCACAGCGGGAUGAAAGCCACCAUAGCGGGAUGAAGGCCGCCACAGCGGCCUUCAUCUGGGACGAACACCAAGCGUGACAAUGGCGUCUUUUCGUCCCAAAACCCCCAUUUUCGUCAGAAUUUCAGCAGAUUAGAGUAUAUCAACUACCCUAAAACCUAUUUAUGCAUUUAUUUCAACAAAAUAAACUCAAAACAGUGCCCAGAUUCUAGUUUUAAGCAAAUGAGCGUCUCAACUUCCUCCACCCGUUUUUGUAUUGAUUUACCCAUAUUUUUACGAAAUCCCUAUGCCCAGAACAUUGUGGAAACGUUGGGGACGUAAGGGAAGUGACCAUGCUACGUAUAGUAUACCAAUCUAGCAGCCUAGUUCAAAAUUUCAAAAUAACUACCCCAAAACCGAUUCUAACCUAUUAAUUAGUAGCAUGCAGUUGUUGUUAGUUAAAUAAUGAAGUAAAGAGUGUAAGGAAUAAGAAAUGUACCUGAGUUUCGACGUUCGGGGGAGAGUGAUUUGGUAGAGUUUGGGAGAGUUUAGGGAAGUUUGGGAAGAAAUGGGAAAAUUAUGUCCCUUUUCCCCCUUUUUCUUUUGCCCGAUCUCCCAGCUCAGCGAGAGAUCCCCGCCACAGUGACCCCGCCUCAGCGGGAGGCUGUCGCUCUGGCGGGCCAGGCCAGGUAAUUUUAAAACCAUGUCAAUCUUUGUGUGUUGCAUCAGAGUUUCUUCUAGUACUUGAAUAUAGUACCUUUUCGUGUGUCAAUUAACUGAAAGGUCGCGAUUAAUCGUACUUUCUGUGGUGGAUCAAUUCGGUAUUUGGAAGUGUCAGAAAUUAGAGUGUGUGAUGUCCGUAGCCUAGUCGUUCGGGGAUGAACGAGGGGUAAAUUGGUAUCUAUUGUAACGACCCGAACCGUCGUUAAUUAGGACAAGCAAAGAUUCGAGAAAAUCUGGGCCACUAACCCGCCAGGGUGGGCCAGGUGCCACUGGGGCACCGCCGCAAGGCGGGGUAAGUUAGCGCUAGAGCGGGAUAAGCGAGGCAGAAUGUAAAUUUCAAAAAAUCCUUUUUUCUCCAUCUUUCUAAAAUACCUAAAUAAGUCGUAAAACACCCUAGAAACCUCAGAAAAGCUUCUUUAAGCUUGGGAAGGAGGGAGAAGGAGAUUUAUAGCGUGGGGAUGGUGAAAUCUUACGAAUUCUUGGCUAAAUUCACCGUCACGAACCCAGAAAACUCGAAUCGAAGUCAAAAACUCCAUACAACAGCUUGGCGCCCAGGUAGGCUAGGUUUAUACAAUUGAGUAGUUUUAAAUAUGUGCUUACUACGUGAUAUAUGUAAAUCAAUUGUAGGGUUGUGUGUAGACCUUUCUGCACCGAGUAAAUUACAUGAAUAAUCCUUCGAAUUCAAAUUAUGUGGGUUUAUGCCUUGUGAGGAGGAAUUGAUGAGUUGCUAGAAAAACCUAGAAUUGAUAUCGUGGAUAGAAUUGGGUCAAGAAUAAGGACAUGAAAUCAAGAGUGGAACUAGAUUCAUGAAUGUAUGCUACAUUCGAUAAUUGAAGUGAUGAAAUUGAGGUAUUAUGAUGAAUGGUGAUUAAAAGCUAAUGAGAAAUCCUAAUGAUGAACUAGGGUUGAGUAUGGUCAAUUAUUACAUAUGCGAUAGAGAUUGAGGAGUAAUUCGUAGGUGAUGGUUGUAAUUCUAUGAUUGUGUAUUGUAUGUUUGUUCUUGCUUCAUUAUGAUAUUUGUAUAUGUAUGAAUGUUGCAAUGUUGAUCACACUUGUUGUAAAUGAGAUAGAUGAAUUAUCGUUACCAUGAAAUUAGGAAUUAAAUGUAUGAUCUUGAUGAUGUACUGGUGUUUGUGAUUGUGGUGUGUGAAUGGGAUCGGAUUGCCACGUUCCGGCAUAACUAACUUCGAUCGGAUUGCCAAGUUCUGGCAUAUUAUGGGAUUGGAUUGCCACAUUCCUGCAUAAUAUGGGAUCAGAUUGCCACGUUCAGGCAUAAACAUGGGAUCGACUGCCACGUUCCGGCACACUAACUUGGGAUCGGUUGCCACGUUCUGGCAUGCUAACUGUUUGAGUUUGGAUUCCGUGAGAGGACCAAUGAUGUGAUAUAAAUGUGAAUUAUUCGUUGUUCGUGUACUUGUUGACAAUAUUGUAUACACUUGAUAUACGUUGUGAGUAAAGUAUUGUAUUGGUAAUUUGUAUAUGGUGUACUUAGUGGACCCGUGUUAUGACGAUUAUAGUUGGUUGUUCGUGGUUUGUAAUGGCGAGGGUAGAGAUAGUGAAUGCGAUGGAAAAUGCUUAGGUGGAUUUCACCUUGGGGAAAAGAGGUUGGUUUAGUGUUAAGAAAGCUUGAAUCAAGGUAUUAUGUGACUAUGGUUAGUAAUGUGACGAGGAAGUAAGGUAGGACGUGUACGGUUAGUUGACUUGGUGGUGUUUGUACUUCGGAAAUUUCUUAUGUGUUUAGAAUGGUUAAGCUAUGAUCAAGAAUCUGGUAAGUGGGUUGAUUAAAAAGGGGUUAGUAGUUAGAAUGCUAGUGUGAUUGGAGGUAUUUCAAUGAAAGGGGUGAAGGUGGAGAAGUGAGUGGUUUAUUCCAUGAUCUUACUAGUUGGUUUCUUAUGUUAUGUGGUGGGCGUCGGGUUGACCGUUGAUGCCUACCAGUACCUGUGUUUUGUGCUGAUACUACUCUUGCUAUGUCUUUUGAUAUAGUCUGGAUGCAGGAUUGGUGACCUUUCAUUAGGUGAAGACGAAGAAAAUCUCCAGCAGCUUCUAUUCUUCCUUCCGCAUGGUGGGAGCUGUGUCUUUUAUUUAUCCUAUCCAGUUGUACUUUUAGUAGCUCUUGUACCUAUUUAGACUAGAUCCAUUGUGAGUUGUUUAAAUUACCUUGCAGUUUAACUAAUAGUGUGCCUAAAAGCGUUAUUUAUAAAAUUAUAGUGUUAUAUUUAUUUCUGUUUUCUUAAAAUUUUCGCAUGUUUUUACUAUUGGGAUAUGAGGGUUCUCUUACUUAGGUGUUAGAGUGGGUGUCCGCAUGGCCCGAUGGGUUGGGUCGUGACAGUUGCUAUUCUUUUGGAUCCUCCUGUGUAAGCCAUUAUUUGUGUAGCUCUACUGAUUUUAUUUGCUCGACUACGCUUCUAGAAUGAGAAAACAAAGCAUCAGUUCUUACUAGUACAACAUAUUACUUAAGUUCUUUGAAAAAAACAGUGAAAGAACUAUGUAAAAAGAAUGUAAUAUCGAAAGCACAACUUGAGACUGGCUGCACAAAACAAACUAUACACUAGGGACAAAUUGUUGAAAUGGGAAUGUUUGUUGAUCCUAGUUGUCCUCUGUGUUGUUAUGGCUAAUGAGAGUCUCUCUCAUCUUUUCUGUGCUUGUACUGUCUCUGCUCGUAUAUGGCAGAAACUACUCACCGAGUAUUGAAUCCCAGUGAAGCUACUUACCUAUUUUGUACUCCACGAGGUAGUUAUCUCUGAUGCUAUGAGGUUAGAGAUAACUAUUUUAUAAAGUAAUAGAAAAUAGAUGCAUGCAGUAGCAGCAUUCUAGCACAAAUAGAAGCAAUGGCAGCAUUCUAACAGUAAAUUUGUAUUACGAAAAAAACAAUUAUAAAGUAGUGUAACUAUUUAGGAGUUCAAAACAUAUUUUGGAAAUAAAAAUACAAAGUUACAGGAGAUUUAUAAUAUAGGUUCUACUAAUCAAGAAAUGUACUCACUAACCUUCGCUUUUUCAAAAAGUCAAUACGAGACAAGAGGGUUCCAUUGAUCCCUUGGUAUGUGACUUGGUCUAUUUUUCAUCAAGGCAUCUUUGGUCUUAUAUUUGGUCACAUACAAAGCCUUCAAGUCACUUUUAUAGUCUCUCCAUUUUUUUCCUAUCGACUUCUUCACAAACUCUUCUCCACAUAUCGGAAUGGAGAACUUUUUCUGAAAAGAUAGACAAAAGUUAACAAGAUAAGAUCAUGUAUAAAAAGAAAUGAUACUUAGCUUGUUAACAAUAAUAAUUUUAUACCUUCACAAACUCCACCAACUUUGUCUUUUCUUCGUCGUCAAAUACUCGCCAAUCAUUUAGAGAGGAAAAUAUAACAACUCACUACUACUUGUAUCCACAAUUAACAAGCAGAUGUAUGAUUUUUCAUAUUUCUGGUAAGAGGUUGAUAGAGAGCCUAAGAAAAUUAAGAGGAGAGCUCUCUACGUUCUUGGGGAUGUAUGCAACUAUCAAAUGAUGGAAUAUAAUCCUAGAUUCAACUAGUACUAGAUACAUUGUCAUGUAAUUAGAUCUUAUUAUGGAGAUAAUCUAUAAAUUUAAGUUUCAAGAAACAACAUGGCUCAUUGUUCAGCUCAACAACAGUGUCAAUAGAAUUGUUAUCCUCAGAUAUUUGGGCUUGAGAGAAGCUCCGAGCUUUUAUUAAUUGUUGAAUGUAUGGUCGUACUUCUUCAUCAUGACGUUUUUCGGUUACCAAUCUGCUACCAACUCUAUUUUGCAUUUUCGUUCUACUUAUCUAUUCUCUUCAAACCUGUGGAAGAAAGUCAAGAAUGCAGAUUUGAAGAAAAGAUUCAGGGAACAAACACCAUCCUUAAUCAAAUUAGAACUCAGAAAACUCUCCAUGACAAAUUCAAGUGUUAUAUGAUGGCAUAAUGCUCUGGACUGUUUCUUACAACCAAGUGCUCUUGUUAUGUGUUCAAACAUUUUAUAAGAAACCAUUUGCUUUAUUUAAUAGGGAAAUUUUUUCGCUCCAUAUAAGAAGUUAUUAACUUAGAAAUAGUGUCCUAACAUUAAUCCUCUCAUACCUACUAUUUCUUACAACCAAGUUCUCUUAUAACUAAAAUGAGAGAGAGAGAGAGAGAGAAAGUUCAAUCUCCAACCACAUUGAUAUAAGAAACGUAUAUAGACCAGAAUUUAGAAUUAAGUUUAGUAACUAACAAACUACUGCUUUCCAACUAAACCUUUCCAUAACUGUCAGUCACUCACACACAAAGGCCUUUACAAAACUAGCCCCUCUCAUGUCAACUAAUCAAAAACGAUUAAUUUUUUUAUGACCAUGGUGUCUGAGCCAGCUUUUGCACCUCGAUUAAUUCCACAAGAUACCUUCGAGUACAAAAAAUGGUCAGUUUUCCUCAUCAUCCAGUGUUACAGUAAAUUUGAUGAAUUUAGUUUAUUACAACAAGCAGAAUUUCUAGCUGUACAGAGCACCUUAUUGGGUUGAUUUAGGUUUGAUGUCAAAAUCCUACUAAAUGAGUUACAGUUGCAGCUUUUCGAAUCAAUAGAUAUGAAGGAAUCAAUCAUGAAUCAACAAUUUAAUAGUUAAUCAAAAGCUAGAAAACUGAGCCAGAUUAUAAGUUUCCCUACGGCUAUUCUGAAAGGGAAAACUUCUCCCAUAACAUCCUCAAGUUUCAAACAACAGUUUUUUCAGCAAUGUUUUCCUCAAAGUUAUACCACGCUAAUUAAUGAAAAUCAGAAGAAAACUAAAGAUAAAAAAGCAUAAUUAUAAGUUGAUAGCAUAUGCAUGUCAGCAUUCAUCAAAAUAACACUGAGAAAAGAAGGAUUACCAACUAGAAUGAGAUAUUGAGAGAUCGAGAAAAAGAGAUUACCGCUUAUUCUACCUCAAUUCGAGCAGAAAGAAAAAAAAUUGAUGCAUGCUUCAACUCAGAUCCAUCGUAGACAUGGAAGGAUGCAUCAAAUUAACUCAAUCUUCAGAUGGAAUGGAGAAGAUAGAUCGAGUAUUUUGAAAAUUUGAGAAUGAAAUAAAAUUUGACUAAGAGAAUGUUUG
rnacentral:lncRNA from 1 species